GUCUCAGUUCAGAUUGUAGGCUGAAACUCGCCUAUAUGAAGUCGGAAUUGCUAGUAAUCGCAGAUCAGCAUGCUGCGGUGAAUACGUUCCCGGGCCUUGUACACACCGCCCGUCACACCAUGAGAGUCGAUAACACCCGAAGCCUGUAGUCUAACCAUAAGGAGGACGCAGUCGAAGGUGGGAUUGAUAAUUAGGGUGAAGUCGUAACAAGGUACC
rnacentral:rRNA from 1 species